rnacentral:tRNA from 1 species
AAUAUUUUAAGACUAUCGUCUUCUUAAUAUCUUCAAUAUUAUACUUUUAAAUAAGCUAUUAAAAUA